UACGUAGGUGGCAAGCGUUGUCCGGAAUUACUGGGUGUAAAGGGAGCGCAGGCGGGAAGCCAAGUCAGCUGUGAAAACUACGGGCUUAACUUGUAGACUGCAGUUGAAACUGGUUUUCUUGAGUGAAGUAGAGGUUGGCGGAAUUCCGAGUGUAGCGGUGAAAUGCGUAGAUAUUCGGAGGAACACCAGUGGCGAAGGCGGCCUGCUGGACGAUGACUGACGUUGAGGCUCGAAAGCGUGGGGAGCAAACAGG
rnacentral:rRNA from 1 species